rnacentral:tRNA from 1 species
GCCCCGGUAGCACAAUCGGUUAGCGCGCCGUACUUAUAUGACAGUGAAGUUGGUCAAUGGCCGAUGUUGGCAGCUAAGGAAUGCGGAGGUUGUGAGUUCGAGCCUCACCCGGGGCA